UCAGUAACACGUAGUCAACAUGCCCAGGGACGUGGAUAACCUCGGGAAACUGAGGAUAAACCGCGAUAGGUCAUCACUUCUGGAAUGGGUAAUGACUUAAAUCUACAUGGCCCCUGGAUUGGACUGCGGCCGAUCAGGCUGUUGGUGAGGUAAUGGCCCACCAAACCUGUAACCGGUACGGGCUCUGAGAGGAGGAGCCCGGAGAUGGGCACUGAGACAAGGGCCCAGGCCCUAUGGGGCGCAGCAGGCGCGAAACCUCUGCAAUAGGCGAAAGCUUGACAGGGUUACUCUGAGUGAUUUCCGUUAAGGAGAUCUUUUGGCACCUCUAAAAAUGGUGCAGAAUAAGGGGUGGGCAAGUCUGGUGCCAGC
rnacentral:rRNA from 1 species